GUUGUCGACCAAUGGCAUUUCCCAAAAUAGUCAGAAAUCCCCAAAAAUCCUCGAGCCCAGUGGCGGGUGUCGUGUCCAUAUAAGCGACCAUGCACCAGUCAUUAGGGCAGUAUACUUCGAGGGACAGCAGCAGGAGCAUGAUCCGCGACAAAGAACGCUGACACUGUCAAAGCUCGAUGAAUGAAUACUUGGUCGAUGUUUGAAAAGCACCUCAUCACCGGGUAUACAUUCAUCCGGUUUUGGACAAGUGGCGCCACCUAUAGCCGUCGUGCGCACCUACAGGCAGUCCUCGUUCAUGGCGCAAGAGGACACCACGAGCCGCUACUUGACCACCUGGUGACCAUGCACUGCAGUGUGGAUGGAUGGAUAGAUAGAUACUGUGUAUAGAAGUUCAUGCUCUGGGCGCCGCCAGCGGGAGUUGCGCAAGGCUUCGUGGAAGGAGGAUUUUGCCCAUGACAAAUGGCGAUGGGAGAGCUUCUCUGAGCAUUGUGUCACUGGGACUUCCUUUUCUUCUACAUUCGUUAUCGCGCGGCUUGGUAUGUGUAAUCGUUCAAUAAAUUUACCUAACCCUGU